GUGUCUGAGGAGGACUCUGUUCAUUCUGACUUUGAGCCUGAUCCACAAGCUCCCAUUCUAGAGUCCCAUCUCCAGAAUCUGGUUCCCAUCUGCCACUGAGUCCAGUCUGGGACUUCUGCCACAGCAUCAGCGAUGACGGUGACCAACUGCCAUCAGGAGCUGGGUUUGAUAUUGAGCUGCUGACAUAAAACUCCAAUGAAGCUGGAAAUCCUCCCAAGGAGAGUGUCAGCAGACACCCAGAAGACAACUCAAGGAUCACCUAAUUGUCUGGAUCCUACCCAACCUCUGUUGCAGUCAGCUGAAUUAAACAGUCCCUUUGACUUGAAGAGGUUUUUGGACCUAACUCAAGCAGCAUUUAGUGGCAGCAGAUUACAAGGAGGAACCCCACUGUGCAAUUCCAGCCAUCUGCCUGCAGGUUUCUCUUCUGGCCAGGGACAGUGUGGUCCCAGCAAGCCCCUUCUCC